AUAAGGGCAUAUAUACCCCAAAUCCAUUGACUCCAUCAAAGUCAAAUAUCACAAAAUUUCAACUUUCCUUAUCCAGUUGGGACACCUUUCUUUGUUUGAUCUGUAAACACAUAAGAACCACCAAAAAAACAUAAGAAUUAUCAUUUUUUGACAAAGCACAGAGUUAUCCUACUUCUUGAAAAAUAUCAAGGUUUCAUGUAAUUUAGACAAGUACUUGUGAAUUAUAAAAAAAAUUUACGAAUAUCGGUUGUACCAGACGAUUUUUUCUUGUCGAAGGCGACCGUGAUAUGAUGGUGGUGACAGGGAAGAAAAUGUGAAGGGAUUUGAGAGAGAAAAAGUGCUUAGAGGAGCUGGGAUUGGGGACGGAAAAGAGAGAUGAAGAAGUUGCUUCAAGAUUAUGGAGUUUAGUUACUAAAUGGCUCCAAAUUGCGCCUAUUCCUUUGCAAGGGCCUAUUGAUAUCAUCAUUUAUAUCGAUAACAUGCAUGUAUCCAAGGAUAAGAAAGAUAUUAUUGAGGCUAUAAUAUAUUGUGUAUGGUGGUCGAUAUGGAAAUAUAGAAACGAAGAGGUUUUCAACAACGGGAAGAAUCGCAAGGAGUUCCUGUUUGAUCUCAUUGUUACCCAGUCUUAUAUGUGGUAUUCGUGUAGAUGCAAAAAGAAACGAAUUUCUUGGGUUGAAUGACUUAAUUGUCCUCUUCUUGUUCCGUAGUUUUGUCGUGUUCUUUGAGGCUUAGAUUUGUAAUUUAUUUGUACUCUUGUAUUUUUGGGCUCUCUAGUACUUCGCUGGUGGCCUUUUAUUUUAAUAUAUUGCCGUUCUAAGAAAAAAAGAGUAUUAUGAGACUA